AUUGAACGCUGGCGGCAGGCCUAACACAUGCAAGUCGAGCGGAUGAAGGGAGCUUGCUCCUGGAUUCAGCGGCGGACGGGUGAGUAAUGCCUAGGAAUCUGCCUGGUAGUGGGGGAUAACGUCCGGAAACGGGCGCUAAUACCGCAUACGUCCUGAGGGAGAAAGUGGGGGAUCUUCGGACCUCACGCUAUCAGAUGAGCCUAGGUCGGAUUAGCUAGUUGGUGGGGUAAAGGCCUACCAAGGCGACGAUCCGUAACUGGUCUGAGAGGAUGAUCAGUCACACUGGAACUGAGAAACGGUCCAGACUCCUACGGGAGGCAGCAGUGGGGAAUAUUGGACAAUGGGCGAAAGCCUGAUCCAGCCAUGCCGCGUGUGUGAAGAAGGUCUUCGGAUUGUAAAGCACUUUAAGUUGGGAGGAAGGGCAGUAAGUUAAUACCUUGCUGUUUUGACGUUACCAACAGAAUAAGCACCGGCUAACUUCGCG
rnacentral:rRNA from 1 species